UACAGAGGGGGCAAGCGUUAUUCGGAAUUAUUGGGCGUAAAGGGCGCGUAGGCGGCUUUUCAAGUGGCGGGUGAAAGCCCUCGGCUUAACCGAGGAACUGCCUGCCAGACUGAAUGGCUUGAGACCGGGAGAGGUGAGUGGAAUUCCCAGUGUAGCGGUGAAAUGCGUAGAUAUCAAGUGGAACACCAGUGGCGAAGGCGAGUCUCUGGACAUUUCCUGACGCUGAGGCACGAAAGCCAGGGGAGCAAACGGG
rnacentral:rRNA from 1 species